UAUGAAGCCUAUUUUGUUGUUGAUCUAAUUCUGAAGUUUGGAAGUUGGCUUUUAUCCAUGUUGAUCAAUCUUCUUCCAUGAGUUGGAAUAUCUUGAAACUGAUUGUAUUGAAUUGUACUUGCAAAAUCAAAAACCAGAUCAUAAAAAAAGGCCUAGAAGUAAAGGAGGAAAUAGAGGAAAGAUAAUCAUCCGUUCUGCUCAUAUAGUUCAAACCCGUUCUAGUGUUAAUCCUGAUGAUAAAAAAAGAAGAGGUGUACAAGUUAGACGAGAUGGCAAAAGAAAAGUAACUGUAGAAGCUGAAAAUAAGGCCAACUCAGACCCCAUUUAUCAGAAUGAUGAGUAUAGUGAGGAUGGUGAUGAAGGAGAUAAAGUUGUGGGUGGUGGUGCUGUUUCUAAGGAUGGUUCAAAGAAGUCAGGUGAAAAAGAUGAAGAUGUUGAUCCCCUGUCCUUGCCAUAUUGCGCAAAGACAAUUUUGUGGAGAAGUAUGGUUUGAUUAAUUGGCUGGAUGAUUUAAAGUUUUUCCAGCAAAAUUUUCUGUUAGGUCUAGGCUGAUGUUGUUUUCUGAUUUUAAACAAGCGUUGAAAGAUCAAAGAAUUAAGAAUAGGUUCAGUCGUUCCUAUUUUGAUCACUUUAAAAAUUUGUAUGAACACUUCAAAAAAUGUACCAGAAUGGUGGUCUAUUGUUUGCUUCUUUGUCAUGUCGAUGAGAAUAAGAAGCAUGAGAUGUGGUUCCUCGUGAAUGACAAGCCAGUGUGUUUUGGCUUGAAGGAGUUUGCUUUGAUCACCGGUUGUGGAUCCUUUCCUAGCGAAUCUAUAGAGGACAGAGUAUUGAGGAAAAAUAUAGCAUUCUGCACAAAGGUUACUGGCAACAGGAAGAUUUCAGUAGAAAGACUAUUGGGGGUCGUUAGAGGGAGUAGUCCAGACAAAGAAGAAAAGUUUAAAUAUUGUCAUCUUGCUUGCCAUAGAUUUGUCCAAUGAUGUGGACUAUAGUUUGAUUAAAAAUGGUGGACUCUUUGGACUUCUUCUAGAAAUACCCUUGGGCAAAGGAAUCCUUUGACCUCACUUUGGACUAGUUGAAGAACAUGUUAGACACGUCCAAGCAGCACCAAGCACACAUUGAGAAGAAGAAUGCGCCAUAUGCUCUCUAUGACUUACAUUAGGCCUUCGUGGAAAACAUUAUAAACCAAUGGCGCAGGAGAUUAUAGAAUGUAUGUUAUUUACUUUUACACUCAUUGAUUAUUUGUGUUAUUUGUCUGGGCAUAUAAAGUCUUCCCUGCACUUGGACAGUACGCUGACAAAUUAGAAGAGGUUCCUUUUCCGAUUUCUAGGAUCCUUAGAUGGCACACCACUAAAAGUGAGCGACUUGCUGAUGGUGAUCCAUUGAGGGCUCGAGCGGGAGCUUUAGAGAUUGUGCACCCUUACAUCAUCCGUACAGUGCGUGAGUUGGGGUAGGGAUACAUGAAAACCUUUGUGCCAUAUGAUGAUGAGAUCGGGGUUCCAGUCAUAGAUGCCUUGAAUCGUGAAUUAGAAGGAGUGACUCUAUUGAUUUUACCAGCACAUGCAUCAAAGGCUCCUAGUAGAUUGGGAAAGGAGCCCUUAGGAGUGUGACGGUUCACUUUUACGCGAAGCAUAAAAGCUACUUCGAAUUUGUUGACUCUUUUGGAUUUAUUUAUUUUUAGAGUCGCUACCUAAUUUAUAAGGGAAAUUAGAAAAACCAAGUUAAAAGGGUUUAUUCAAACAAGAGAAAAAUCAUUUAAAAACCAGAGUUCGAGGUAAGGAUUCUGAUGAUUCCUCGGGGAAGGCGUUA